rnacentral:rRNA from 1 species
AGCCCGCUCAAGAAACUCAAAGGAAGUUGACGGGGCCCGCACAAGCGGUGGAGUAUGUGGUUUAAUUCGAUGCAACGCGAAGAACCUUACCUGGUCUUGACAUCCCGGAGACCCUUAGGAAACUAGGGGGUGCUUCCAUCUGGAAGAAUCUGGAGACAGGUGCUGCAUGGCUGUCGUCAGCUCGUGUCGUGAGAUGUUGGGUUAAGUCCCGCAACGAGCGCAACCCUUGCCUUUAGUUGCCAGCAGUUCGGCUGGGCACUCUAAAGGGACUGCCGGUGUUAAACCGGAGGAAGGUGGGGAUGACGUCAAGUCCUCAUGGCCUUUAUGACCAGGGCUACACACGUACUACAAUGGCCGAUACAAAGGGCAGCGACACUGCGAGGUGAAGCCAAUCCCGUAAAAUCGGUCUCAGUCCGGAUUGGAGUCUGCAACUCGACUCCAUGAAGUUGGAAUCGCUAGUAAUCGUGGAUCAGCAUGCCACGGUGAAUACGUUCCCGGGCCUU